rnacentral:lncRNA from 1 species
AUCUCCACAAGUUUUGUGAUAGAGCCUCGCUCAGCUGGACUUCCUCACGCUGAUUUACCCGGCAAGUAAAGCUUACUGACAUGAGAACACUGAAUCGCACACAGACAGUGUUUGCCAAGACAGCAUAGCAAGGGGCAUGAUUUCCCCACUGUCAUCGAGGUUAGCUUAAUAAUUAAUACAGGUGCCAGAUGAUACUGAACAAAAGUUAGCCCAACCUACGACAGUUAGCCACUGCACACAGCUCUGUGGCAGAAAAUGGUCGUGGAGAUUCAGCUCUUCACUAUUUACUACUACGCACAGCCCAUGCGUCCACCCCUUUGGAGGACCAAGUGUUCCUGUAGCGAAGCCUAGAAUUAACGUGUUUUACCACGGGCCACUUCAAGCCUUUGCUUCUGCAGGUCUAUUAGUCGAACAAUUUCCCGUCCACAACUACCAAAGAUGUGUGCUGCACAGACCUCGGGCACACGAGCACAGGUUUACAAACUUCCAAAGCAGCAAUUUGCUUAAAGAGUGGAAGGAGAGCAAAUUUCCCUCCGAACAAGCGGUCGCUGUUGGCAAAGACACAGACAGCCGUCCGCGGAGCUCAGCCCGGCACUCACCCGGCCAGGGGCUGCCAGGACAUCGCAGUGCCAGCGGACAGAACGACAUCGCCUCCGCGACGGUCCGCGCUCGCAACGCUCCCCCGCCUGCAGCCACCCCAGGAAGCGCCUCCCUCGGGCAGGAGGGGCGGAGGGACGGCCGAGCUCUUGCAGAAAUUCAAAGUACAGCACAGUUUUGCGCUGACAAGAAACAACCCACAAGAGUGGUGAAGCAGAGGAUUUUUACAUAGUCUGAGAAACAUGAGUGGCUCCAAAGAAGAUUGAUGGCAGUGGGAAGAAGAAAGGGUCUGCGACUAACUGAGGAAGGAAGAGGACAAGGAGAAAUAUAGCAGCCAGGGCAAAAUGGAAGAGAUGAGGAAAAGGCUCUGGCUGAGAAAAUUGGUGAGUCAGGGUGCGCAGCAGGGGAGGGGGAGGGAGAUCAGAGAGAAGUAGGGAAGGUGAAGGAAAGGAAAAAAAGGGACUAAAGAAGAAGGAAAAUAUAAGGUUAGUGAGAUGCCUUAAAGGAAUUCAGAAAAAAUGUGGGUUGGUUAAACAUUGAUGAUGAGCAGCUGAUGGAAAAUGAUCCUUUAAUCAGGCUUUAUGCUUUGCGAGAUCAAUGAACUAAACCAACAAUAAACAGGAGGUUGAAUUACUCUGUGUUUACA